rnacentral:rRNA from 1 species
AUGGCUCAGGAUGAACGCUAGCGACAGGCCUAACACAUGCAAGUCGAGGGGCAGCGCGGAGUAGCAAUACUUGGCGGCGACCGGCGCACGGGUGAGUAACACGUAUGCAACCAACCCAUAACAGGGGGAUAACCCGGAGAAAUCCGGACUAAUACCGCAUAAGACCACGAUAUCGCAUGAUAUAGAGGUCAAAUAUUUAUAGGUUAUGGACGGCAUGCGUCUGAUUAGCUGGUUGGCGGGGUAACGGCCCACCAAGGCAUCGAUCAGUAGGGGUUCUGAGAGGAAGGUCCCCCACAUUGGAACUGAGACACGGUCCAAACUCCUACGGGAGGCAGCAGUGAGGAAUAUUGGUCAAUGGGCGAAAGCCUGAACCAGCCAUGUCGCGUGAAAGGAUGAAGGUCCUAUGGAUUGUAAACUUCUUUUGCAGGAGGGUAAAGUGAGCUACGUGUAGUUCAUUGCAAGUACCCUGCGAAUAAGCAUCGGCUAACUCCGUGCCAGCCGCGGC